GAGUUUGAUCGUGGCUCAGGUUGAACGCUGGCGGCAUGCCUUACACAUGCAAGUCGAACGGCAGCAUGAUCUAGCUUGCUAGAUUGAUGGCGAGUGGCGAACGGGUAAGUAAUACAUCGGAACGUGCCCUGUAGUGGGGGAUAACUAGUCGAAAGAUUAGCUAAUACCGCAUACGACCUGAGGGUGAAAGUGGGGGACCGCAAGGCCUCAUGCUAUAGGAGCGGCCGAUGUCUGAUUAGCUAGUUGGUGGGGUAAAGGCCCACCAAGGCGACGAUCAGUAGCUGGUCUGAGAGGACGAUCAGCCACACUGGGACUGAGACACGGCCCAGACUCCUACGGGAGGCAGCAGUGGGGGAAUUUUGGACAAUGGGCGAAAGCCUGAUCCAGCAAUGCCGCGUGUGUG
rnacentral:rRNA from 1 species